AUAACAGGCUGAUACCGCCCAAGAGUUCAUAUCGACGGCGGUGUUUGGCACCUCGAUGUCGGCUCAUCACAUCCUGGGGCUGAAGUAGGUCCCAAGGGGAUGGCUGUUCGCCAUUUAAAGUGGUACGCGAGCUGGGUUUAGAACGUCGUGAGACAGUUCGGUCCCUAUCUGCCGUGGGCGCUGGAGAAUUGAGGGGGGCUGCUCCUAGUACGAGAGGACCGGAGUGGACGCAUCACUGGUGUUCGGGUUGUCAUGCCAAUGGCACUGCCCGGUAGCUAAAUGCGGAAGAGAUAAGUGCUGAAAGCAUCUAAGCACGAAACUUGCCCCGAGAUGAGUUCUCCCUGAGACUUUAAGUCUCCUGAAGGAACGUUAAAGACGAUGACGUUGAUAGGCCGGGUGUGUAAGCGCAGCGAUGCGUUGAGCUAACCGGUACUAAUGAACCGUGAGGCUUAACCUUACAACGCCGAAG
rnacentral:rRNA from 1 species